GUCCCAGUAGCGCAAUGGAUAGCGCGUUGGAUUUGUAAUCCAAGGGUCGCGGGUAUGAAUCCUACCUGGGAUG